rnacentral:rRNA from 1 species
AUUGAACGCUGGCGGCAGGCCUAACACAUGCAAGUCGAGCGGAUGAAGGGAGCUUGCUCCUGGAUUCAGCGGCGGACGGGUGAGUAAUGCCUAGGAAUCUGCCUGGUAGUGGGGGAUAACGUCCGGAAACGGGCGCUAAUACCGCAUACGUCCUGAGGGAGAAAGUGGGGGAUCUUCGGACCUCACGCUAUCAGAUGAGCCUAGGUCGGAUUAGCUAGUUGGUGGGGUAAAGGCCUACCAAGGCGACGAUCCGUAACUGGUCUGAGAGGAUGAUCAGCCACACUGGAACUGAGACACGGUCCAGACUCCUACGGGAGGCAGCAGUGGGGAAUAUUGGACAAUGGGCGAAAGCCUGAUCCAGCCAUGCCGCGUGUGUGAAGAAGGUCUUCGGAUUGUAAAGCACUUUAAGUUGGGGGGAAGGGCAGUAAGUUAAUACCUUGCUGUUUUGACGUUACCAACAGAAUAAGCACCGGCUAACUUCGUG